rnacentral:rRNA from 1 species
UACGUAGGGUCCAAGCGUUGUCCGGAUUUAUUGGGCGUAAAGAGCUCGUAGGCGGCUUAGUAAGUCGGAUGUGAAAACUCGGGGCUCAACCCCGAGACGCCAUCCGAUACUGCUGUGGCUUGAGUCUGGUAGGGGAACACGGAAUUCCUGGUGUAGCGGUGAAAUGCGCAGAUAUCAGGAGGAACACCGGUGGCGAAGGCGGGUCUCUGGGCAACAACUGACGCUGAGGAGCGAAAGCGUGGGGAGCGAACCGG